rnacentral:rRNA from 1 species
CCUUCGGGAACUCUGACACAGGUGCUGCAUGGCUGUCGUCAGCUCGUGUCGUGAGAGUGUUGGGUUAAGUCCCGUAACGAGCCGCAACCCUUGUCCUUAGUUACCAGCACGUUAUGGUGGGCACUCUAAGGAGACUGCCGGUGACAAACCGGAGGAAGGUGGGGAUGACGUCAAGUCAUCAUGGCCCUUACGGCCUGGGCUACACACGUGCUACAAUGGUCGGUACAAAGGGUUGCCAAGCCGCGAGGUGGAGCUAAUCCCAUAAAACCGAUCGUAGUCCGGAUCGCAGUCUGCAACUCGACUGCGUGAAGUCGGAAUCGCUAGUAAUCGUGAAUCAGAAUGUCACGGUGAAUACGUUCCCGGGCCUU